rnacentral:siRNA from 1 species
UAUUAGGUACUCCAUUAAAGAG